rnacentral:rRNA from 1 species
UNAUGGACGAGAGUCUGAACCAGCCAGUCGCGUGAGGGAUGAAGGUUCUAUCNGAUCGUAAACCUCUUUUAUAAGGGAAUAAAGUGCGGGACGUGUCCUGUUUUGUAUGUACCUUAUGAAUAAGGAUCGGCUAACUCCGUGCCAGCAGCCGCGGUAAUACGGAGGAUCCGAGCGUUAUCCGGAUUUAUUGGGUUUAAAGGGAGCGUAGAUGGAUGUUUAAGUCAGUUGUGAAAGUUUGCGGCUCAACCGUAAAAUUGCAGUUGAUACUGGAUAUCUUGAGUGCAGUUGAGGCAGGCGGAAUUCGUGGUGUAGCGGUGAAAUGCUUAGAUAUCACGAAGAACUCCGAUUGCGAAGGCAGCCUGCUAAGCUGCAACUGACAUUGAGGCUCGAAAGUGUGGGUAUCAAACAGGAUUAGAUACCCUGGUAGUCCAAGGGCGAAUUC